rnacentral:misc_RNA from 1 species
AACUUUUAGCAACGGAUCACUUGGCUCUCGCAUCGAUGAAGAACGCAACGAAAUGCGAUAAGUAAUGUGAAUUGCAGAUUUUCAGUGAAUCAUCGAAUCUUUGAACGCACCUUGCGCUCCUUGGUAUUCCGAGGAGCAUGCCUGUUUGAGUGUCAUUAAAUCAUCAACCCCACCGAUUUGUUUCGGCUUGGGGCUUGGACUUGGAGCGUGCUGGCGAAGGUCGGCUCCUCUUUAAAUGCAUCAGCGGAAGAACGCAUCUUUUUUCCCUUCAGCGUGAUAAUCCUGUUGCGCUGUGUGUGGGUCAAAGGUGUUCCGCUUAUAAUCGUCCUUCGGACAAACGAACCCAUCUAUUUUUGACCUCAAAUCAGGUAGGACUACCCGCUGAACUUAAGCAUAUCAAUAAGCGGAGGCU